rnacentral:rRNA from 1 species
GGGAUGCGGCAGCUUAACAUGCAGUCGAACGGUAACAGGGAGCUUGCUCCGCUGACGAGUGGCGAACGGGUGAGUAAUACAUCGGAACGUGCCCAGUAAUGGGGGAUAGCUCGGCGAAAGCCGGAUUAAUACCGCAUACGCCCUGAGGGGGAAAGUGGGGGACCGCAAGGCCUCACGUUAUUGGAGCGGCCGAUGGCUGAUUAGCUAGUUGGUAGGGUAAAGGCCUACCAAGGCGACGAUCAGUAGCUGGUCUGAGAGGACGAUCAGCCACACUGGGACUGAGACACGGCCCAGACUCCUACGGGAGGCAGCAGUGGGGAAUUUUGGACAAUGGGGGAAACCCUGAUCCAGCAAUGCCGCGUGUGCGAAGAAGGCCUUCGGGUUGUAAAGCACUUUUGUCAGGGAAGAAAUCCUUUGGGCUAAUACCCUAGGGGGAUGACGGUACCUGAAGAAUAAGCACCGGCUAACUACGUGCCAGCAGCCGCGGUAAUACGUAGGGUGCAAGCGUUAAUCGGAAUUACUGGGCGUAAAGCGUGCGCAGGCGGUUGUGUAAGACAGGUGUGAAAUCCCCGGGCUUAACCUGGGAAUUGCAUUUGUGACUGCACGACUA